CGCUGACAUGUUUGAGUUUCAUAGAUUUUUGGGAGGCACUGCGGCAAGGCGGCAACCUAUCAGAGUAUGUUCAGUAUAUUUAUACCCAAUAGUACUUUGUCGAAGGCAAUGCCGGAUAUAACAUAAUCAGAAACAAUGGUCUGAGAACAAAACCUGCAGCUAUAGUAGAUGGCCUGUUGAACGCUUCAAGAAAAUCUGUUGCGCUUGAAUUAACUCCAACGGCGAACAUCUGAAAGCCUAAUGCUGGGGAAUAGUACCUGCAAGCAGUCCAAAUAUUAACGGCGACAUAUUCGUCCUAAUUGAAUGAGAUACUAUAACAUGAACCAGUUCAAGUAUUAGCUUCAUUGCGCUUGCCAAAUCAGGUAGCAAGCCUAUGAUAUGACGACAAUGUAUAUACAAAAUUCUAGACUUAAUACCAUUUCAAUUCUUUUCUGAUAGAGCUUGUACACAAACUUCUACAAAAAAAUGACAGAGGAUGACCGAUCAUAAUCUUCUACUAUUUUGUGAAGCACAAUGUUCAGCUCUGUCCAGAGAUUUCCAAACUGAAUCCUCCGUUUAUGGGCAAGAGAAAUGGCCCCUGGAACCAUUUUUCAGGAAAAUAUGAAGGACUCCUCUGGCUCAUCGGCCUGAUGCUUGAUAUACUUGGGCUGCUUGAUGAUGCUGACUCUGGUCUUAUACUUGGGCUGCUUGAUGAUCCUGACUCUGGUCUUGAGAGGAAAUGGAACAGGAACAUGCUGAAGACUAACCAAGGAAUGUUUUCCAUUGUCUGUUUAAAAGUUCAUGCUCGUACGGGAUGGAAUUUGCCUGUUGUGAAUCCUACAAACUGGUUAGGGGGAGCAACUUUUAUCGAUUGUUCAAGAUCAUCCGGGGUUCGAAUAUAAGAAUUUGUUGGUGCUUUA